rnacentral:lncRNA from 1 species
GUUGGUCUGACGGCCAACAACACUCCUUAUUGAUCACCAGGCAUCGGGGAGAAAAAUAUUUAAGGCAGCUGGGAAUGGUCAUCUGCUAGAUGGUGCCCGUGUUGUCGAUAGAGGUGAGCCGGCAGAAAAUAUUGUCUGUGUCUACUUUGUGCGUUGGAGUUUUGUUUUUUUCUUUUCAGUUCGGCACAGGUUUAACUCAGGGAUAAAUGAAACUCGCUCAGAAUUCGGUGCCCUUCUGAUAUUGUGUUUUUAAACUAAUGAAUGAAUGGACGAGUGGGCUGGAAGAGUUGCCCAAAUGGCUGAAGUUUGGGCAUUUCUCUUCAUGGCUUCUUCCCACGCUAACCUUUCUGCAUGGCGAACCACUAGUUCGUCCUACCUUCAGAUGGGUACAGUAAUGCCAUAUAAUUUAAUCCUAACUCCCCAAGACCACCACUUUGUUUUGUAUUAUUUUGAAUGUGAACAACUGUGUAUUUCAAGAAAUAUUUUUAAAUACUUCAACUUCGUGUUUCAUAAGGGAACUGUAAUUUGCCAGUUUCUCUCAUAUUGUCUGCCAGUUACUGUCAUCUCAUAACUCCGUCUCCGAGCUGUCCAGCUUCUGGUAACUGCCAGGCACUCCCCCCCCCCCCAAAAAAAAACCACACACCACACACAACAACCAUACGUGCUCCCCCCACCUUGCACAUCCAUGCAAACGCAAAUAAAACAAACCUCUCCAGUUUAUCCCAACUUCUGAUUAUCCGAAUGUAGAGGUCAGCGCUGCAAUUUGGACAAAUGAAAGUUGUAAUCCAAUCCACCUAUCUAUCACUCCUCUAUUACAGACGCUGUAAUCUGCUCGCAGGAAUUAUCCGCCACACAUAUACUCAAUUGCUCUCAGAUCAGAUUUACAUGGCAACGCGAUCCCUUCAGAAUGGCCAGUGUGAAUUUGCUCGGUCGAGAGUUUAGCAUUAGUGAAAUGGUACCGGAUUACGAUUUAAUUUGUUGGGAGCCUAGGCUUUAAUUACAAGGAAGCCCGUGCGGUUUUAACACUCCCUGAGAAUGUAAGGAAAUAACAGGCAAAGGAAAUGGGUGGUGGGGUUUUUGUUUUGUUUUGUUUUUAAAGCUCUCUCUUACAAACAGAUUUCCCCUGUAGGUUCUCCUCCCUCUAUUUGUGUACAGAGUGCAUCCGAACUGUAAAUAGAACCGCUUUAUUGGCGUGGAAAAGCAGAGGGGAACGGGAGCAGAGCAGGAAACGUGGACCUAAGCAACCGCCCCCCUCCCCUCUUAUUUGAAAAAAAAGAGCACGACCUUUAAAACUCUUGUUUAGAAACAUGCAUAUAUCACAUGUUAAUAAGAAUGUAUGGAUUAAGAUGUGAAGUUUGGCUACUUGAUGGUUAAAUAAGUGAGUAAAUAUGCUACUUGUAUUUAACUUUUCAUAAUAUUACUUUGGAAAGUGUUAUGAUCCGCUGGGUUUGGAGACGAGUACACGGAAUCCCAUUUAUAAUAUGAUGCAAAUCUAUUUUUUACGCCUCUUUGUGACUCAAUAGACUUUCCUCUUACAUAUCCGUGCAAUUCGGAUCAUCUCUAAUGUUCAUUUUGCAAAAACUUUAUUUUCUCUUUUUUUAUAUAAAAGGUCAUUAAUUGAAACUCGUCUCCUAAUAAUGAUUUACCCAUCGUUCAAAUGCUUCCCUCCCUUGCAAGGAAGGACUGCUCUUCAAUUUAACUGAUGAACAUUAAUUUAAGAGCUUUUAAUGAUUCAUUUGUAAAGAAUGAAUCACUCUCUAAAAAUGACUUUUAAAGGGGAAGGUGGCUUGGAACUUAUAGUAUAACAGGUCUUAAGCGUGUGGAAUCAAAAGGAAGUUUGGGGAUUUUAUGACCGAGAAUAUUGUUUACAAGUCAACAACUUCGGUCUUCUGUAGUGAAGUGUCUGGAUUCUUGAAAGUAUUUGGGGUCACAAUGGGUAAUGGGAUAAUGUUUUAUUUAACUUUAGCUUGGGUAUUUCUAAAAAAUAAAAUAAAAAAUAGUUGGGUAAUAAAUCUUUGUUCUUGCGUGUGAACCAUUCUGCCUGUAAGCAGCAACCCUUACAAAGAGAAUGUGCUGAUGUUUACUGUUGUUGUUAUUAUUAUUAUUGUUGUUGUUGUUUGGGCUAUGGCACUAUUAGAGUUUUAAUCGUGGGUCUGUAGGAAGAUUUCUACACUGGGCCUCCAGUUUUCAAUGUUACGCUGGGAAAACCAUCCGCCAGCCUUCUAUAACCCAAAUAAACUCUCCUCUGUAGCCUGUUGUUGCUGUAGAGACCUAACAUGCUUUCUCUUAGCUUGGAGAAUCCAUCUUGACCAAAGUGUGGCAUAACUCAAAUGGCAGAGAAUAAAUAAAGAUUAAAGGGGCUUAUUUACAACGUGUGUAGCUGGUGCUCUGUAGCUGGGGGGGGAGGGAUGCUCCAGGUUCCUGCUUCCCACCCCACCAUUUCCUCUCCGCUCAUUCCUGCCUCUUCUGCAUAAUACCAGCCAACUUUACAAAGCAGAAGGGGGGAGUGUGUGUGUGUGGGGGGGGAGACAGAUAAAUGAGGGGAUUAAAACAACACCCAAAUAUUUCUCUGGGCAGACACCAGGCCUCGGAAUGCCUUGUUGGGAGGCAGAAGUUUAAGCGAAGUUAAAGCAGCCCAGAAAUCUGCAACCUAGGCAAACCGAGAAAUUCUUCUUAACCAGAAAAGAAAAGGAGGAGUAUCUGGCUGUUCUAUUUAACGUGGAGGUUGUAAUUCAGCAGCAUAGAGAAGUGCGAAGCCAGCGGGACUUUUGGGCAGGAGACUUAAAUUGGUACCAUAAACUGAAGACUGGCCUUUAAACACUAGCACAGAUACACACAGGACUGAAUAGCCUCCUGCUUUUAUUCAGGAUCAUAAAACUAUUCACAGGAGAGAGAGCCUUCCUUUUGUCACAUAUAUAGCCUUACUGCAAUUCCAUCUAAGUGAUGUUUUCCUGCAUUGUUGCCAUGUAUAAGACAAUGAACUCUGAAGGCAUAUAUAUCUAUAUAUAUACUCUCCCGCCUCUCGCUCUUUCCAUGCAGGCAGCCAUUUGAAACUUAAUUUCCAGUCAUUUACGUUUAAUUUACCUAACUUCCCCUGCAGUGUAUAAUAAUUUUGUUAAUGGGAUCACAUAGGACUAAAAAGGGGGAGGGGGCACCCGUCAUUGUUUUAUCAAAAGAGUUUAGCUAAUAAUUAACAAAAAUGGGAAAUGAGUCUUUGGGGUAAAGUUUUUAAUGUGUUAUUUUAAAAAACAAACAAGCAAACCCACAACCAACCGCACACAAAACGACCGCCAUAUUGCUUGAUUUCCUUGCCCUCCAAAAGCAAAGGUAGUAAAGGAAUAAUGAGAAAAAGCAUUUUUACAGAUUUUUAAACAACAAAGCCAGAUAGGAACGUGGAGGUCAGCUGGCUGUAUUUGGUGUGGGGUGGGGGCGUCAGGAUUAAAGGAAUAUGGGCACAAUCUUCCAGAAAGUUCUCUGGCGCAGAAGCCCAAUUUAUGCCAACGACGUUUCCGUAGCAGAUCCUCUGGGAGGAUUGCGUUCUGUGUUAGUAGAAGCAAAGGUAGUUCUAGAAUACGACCCCCCAGUUUCUGAUAGUGUUAAGUGUGAAGAGAAUAAUUGUUCUUUCUAAGCGCACUGUAGCAUGCGAAUAUCCUUCAUUUUCAGUUUACAAAUAUACAUAUAUAUAUAUAUAUAUAUAUAUAUAUAUAUAUAUACACUAGCUUCAGUUCACCACUCGAUAUUUGAUCAUGCGAGCAGAAGUAAAGACAAACAUAAAUAACUUAAAGCAGAGAAAUAAUCAGAAGCAACUUUGAUAGGAAUGAUCACUUAUUUUAAGACGCCGAGAAAAGUACCCGAUUUUAUCAACUUACCAAAACUCAAGAACUAGUUCCUCGUGUUAAAGAAGGUUCAGUGGGUUUUCUGCACACAGAGACACACAAACCCCUCCAUCUCGCAAUGUUAAUGCUAAAAUCCGAAAGCUGUGAAAGUAUUUCACACGACUUAAAACACUAAAAGAAGCCUAGUCUACUAUGAUGAGCGAGCUAUAUACCCGGAGAGAUGGAUGGGAAUUAUCUCCAGCUCCGUUUCCAGAAUGUGUAAGGCAUGUCCAAUCCAUUACAUGACAAAAACAUAUUAACUGUAGAAAAUGAAAAUCUUGGUCUACUUAAACUAGUUUUCAUGGGAAAUUAAUCAUUAUAAAACAUGGAAACAAAAACCGAAUCGUUCCUCUGUUGGACGGUAGAUGGCAGCAAACAGCAUAGAAUGAGCAAGCUGAGACGCUGCAAAGCCAACUCCUAAGACAAAAUAAAGAGAAAUAGCUGCUUUGAUUUUUUUUGGGGGGGGGGGUUAAAGGAAGGGGAGGGAGGGAGAUAAACAACUUGGUAGUGUUUAACCGAUAGGAAUUCAUUAAUUAGUGGCUUUAUAUAAAUGGGCACAAUCCACCGGGAAGCUCCCCUUAACAAACCCCCCCCCCUUGAGAGAGAUGAGCAGGAGCUCUAAAGGUAGGAAGCAGAGGUUGAGUUACAAAGGGCAGCUCAUCUAAUAAGACUAAUAAGACCUAUUGGGUAAAAAUAAAAUAAAAAAAUUCGAGCCUCAAAUAUUUAAAGUGUGUAGAAAGGAGGGGCGCAGGAAAGGAGCAAGAGCAUGCAAAAUGACGACUGGGCAUAGUUACGUAUGAAAAAUGCAGAACGAAUUUUAUCCACAACUUUUCAACUUUCUCUAUGAUUUUCACCCUAACUGUGAUAUGCUUCCAACGAAAUUAUACUCAGAAACAAACAAAAAAAAAGGUUAACAUGCUAGAAAAUGUGCACAUUUUAAAAAAUAAUAAUAAUAAUUCACAAGCGUUACCUAACUGCACAAUGCGAAAUUUACCAGGAGACCGACCGUUUGUGCAUGCAACACUCGUAUUUCAAAUAAUAAUAACCAGGUUUCUUUUUUCUUUCUUUCUUUUAAGCACAAACAUGAACACAGUACUGGUAACCACAGUAAAAAGGGUAUGACAUAUUUCAAAAUAUCCUGUCUCUCAGCCCCGAUCCCAAUUUCCAAAACAGGUGUAGCAAUUGUAGUGUAUACGAGUCUCUCCUUUUAUACAACACAUUCUCAAUUACCUAAACACAGGAAAAACCAGUGUUUAAAACGCCGAAGGAACACACACACAAUAUAUAUUAAACACAUGUAAACUAUUAUUUUUAAUACUCACAUAUACCGAUUAUUAAUUUUUUUUAGAAAGACCAUAUAACAGUGUAUCGCAGUCUCCUCUCCUCGUAAUCUUUCAUUUUAUGGGUUUUCGAAUCUAACCCCUCUUUAUUAUAAAAUAAAGGCACUGCGUAUAGUAUUACUAUUUUUCGUUAUUAAUUUUUUUAUUAUUAUCUUUGUCUUUCCUCUGCCCCCUCCCCGCUCUCCCACCCACCCACCCGCUUCCAUUGUACAGAACAGCUCCUUCGCAGAGAAAUCGCCUAUGUCGUCUCCGUACACCCUGGAGGGAAGCAUCUCGUCGAACUGGCCUCUGUGCAAAACUUCCUAAAUUGAGUGGAUGUACUCGAUGACAAGCAAGUCUGGUUAGAUCGUUCUUCGUGGGGAGAGGAAUAGAUUUAAAGGAGUAGGGAAAUAAUUAAGGGUGGGUUGUUAUUUUUCUAUUUUUAAGUCUUGACUAUGCAGCUACCUUCAGCUAUUCUCCUUAGACCUCCAGUCCAGGUGACAUCAAUAUUUCAAAUCUUAUUUAGCAGCAACUGCACUCCCUUCCCCCUUCCUUCCUUCCUUCCUUCCUUCCUUCCUUCCCUCCCUCCCUCUAUACCUUACAGAAAUGUACAUUUAUUAAUAUCUAUUUCCCUACUGUGAAUUCGUUCUUUCCCUGCGUCCCCAUAGCCUUAUUUAAGAUAGAAAGGGAAAGGCAAAACCGUAUGUGCAACCUUUUUCUUUUUAAAAAGGAAAGAAUAAAAAAUAAUAAUAAGAUAAACUCGAAUAAAAUAUAAAUACAUUCACUUACCUUUUGGCGCCCGUCGUUCUGUGGAUUAAGGGAGGAGGAGGAAGAAGAAGAGGUGGAGAGGAGGAGGGAGGGGGACAGGAUUGCGUUUGCUUUUAAUGUGUAAGCUGACAAAUAUUGUCCCAACCUGAUAGCCGUCCAUUGCGACUUCGGAGAGCUUUUCCUUUGCCGAGUCCUUUUGCACAGAAAAUGGAGUAACUUCCCUCUUUGAAAAAUGGCACAAGCCUCCAUCCGGUACUGAUUCUCCCUCUCCCUCUCCAUCACUAGGCAUAGAACAACAACAACACCAAAAUUUUUUUUAAAAAAAAAAAAAUCACUACGGAAAUUUAACACAGAGGAUUAGGAAAGGAAGAGGGAGGAUCGAUAAUAUUAGCAAUCUGAACUCAUUCCUAGAUGUGUGUGCGUGCGUGCGUGUGUAAUGUGUGUGCGUGCGCUUCCCCUUCUCCUCUAUUUUUAGCCCUAUCGAGCUUAUACAUGAAAGUAAAAAAAAAAAAAUGUAAAAAGAGGCGAGAGUCCUACAGAGGACAGUGAUCCGACCCAAGGUACAGCGGCCAAAAGAAUGGUAGAAUAACCACAUGGGAAAUCAUAAAAAGUUCAUGUUCACGGUUAGCAGUCCACAUGACCAGCUCUGGCCAAUCGCAGAACCCAGCCACUCAUAAAGUUCUAUCACAAAGUUGUAAAUUUUCAUAAAACAACAAGGAAUUUAUUGCAUUUCUUCAUGACUGCUUUAACAGCAGUCUUUUUCUCAGCCGC